ensembl:snoRNA LOC120102120 small nucleolar RNA U3
AAGACUAUACUUUCUGGGAUCAUUUCUAUAGUUCGUUACUAGUUUCUCUGACUGUGUAGAGCAAAUCAAGUGGUAGAGUGUAUGCUUAGUUUGCUAAAGGUCCUGA